UCUUAUGAAUAAGCAAAGAAAGUGGUCUCUUGAGUUUGAAUCUACUCUUGAUGAAGAUGCUGUGAA
rnacentral:pre_miRNA from 1 species